GCAAGUACAAUGAUAUAUGUUUCCGACUCCACUGUUAAAGGACAAAUGAUACAUGUAGUUAUUUUAAGACUUUGCGUAAAAUAUGUCUAAGAAAGAAGUGCAAGAUAUUGCUUUGUUCAAACACGAAUCAUAUACAUUUCCGCUAAAACUAUAAGUCUAGACUUCGUCUUGUUGUACAGGGUACAAUUGCCUUAUAUCUUUUAAAGAUAUGUUUUCCAUGGUUUUUUUUGUAAG
rnacentral:lncRNA from 1 species